CCCUUAGAUGUUCUGGGCCGCACGCGUGCUACACUGAGUGGAUCAGCGGGUCAGGUUGCGCGAAAGUGUUUCCUAAUCUUGAAAUCCGCUCGUGAUGGGGAUUGACGGUUGCAAUUUUCCGUCAUGAACGAGGAAUACCUUGUAAGCGCGGGUCAGCAUCCCGCGCUGAAUACGUCCCUGCCCUUUGUACACACCGCCCGUCGCUCCUACCGAUUGAGUGGUCCGGUGAGGCUUUGGGAUCUGAGCGGAAAGAGCGUUUCGCUGUUUCUGCUCGGAAAACUCAGUCGAACCUUAUCAUUUAGAGGAAGGAGAAGUCGUAACA
rnacentral:rRNA from 1 species